GCCGGGGUGGUGGAACGGUAGACACGGCGGAUUUAAAAUCCUCUGUCCUAACGGACGUGUGGGUUCGAAUCCCACCCUCGGUACCA
rnacentral:tRNA from 1 species